AGCGAACGCUGGCGGCAGGCUUAACACAUGCAAGUCGAGCGCCCCGCCAGGGGAGCGGCAGACGGGAGAGUAACACGUGGGAACAUACCUUUUGGUUCGGAACAACUGAGGGAAACUUCAGCUAAUACCGGAUAAGGCCUUACGGGGAAAGAUUUAUCGCCGAAAGAUUGGGCCGCGUCUGAUUAGCUAGUUGGUGGGGUAACGGCUCACCAAGGCGACGAUCAGUAGCUGGUCUGAGAGGAUGAUCAGCCUCACUGGGACUGAGACACGGCCCAGACUCCUACGGGAGGCAGCAGUGGGGAAUAUUGGACAAUGGGGGCAACCCUGAUCCAGCCAUGCCGCGUGAGUGAUGAAGGCCUUAGGGUUGUAAAGCUCUUUUGCCCGGGAAGAUAAUGACGGUACCGGGAGAAUAAGCCCCGGCUAACUUCGUG
rnacentral:rRNA from 1 species